AGAGUUUGAUCCUGGCUCAGAUUGAACGCUGGCGGCAGGCCUAACACAUGCAAGUCGGACGGUAGCACAGAGAGCUUGCUCUCGGGUGACGAGUGGCGGACGGGUGAGUAAUGUCUGGGGAUCUGCCCGAUAGAGGGGGAUAACCACUGGAAACGGUGGCUAAUACCGCAUAACGUCGCAAGACCAAAGAGGGGGACCUUCGGGCCUCUCACUAUCGGAUGAACCCAGAUGGGAUUAGCUAGUAGGCGGGGUAAUGGCCCACCUAGGCGACGAUCCCUAGCUGGUCUGAGAGGAUGACCAGCCACACUGGAACUGAGACACGGUCCAGACUCCUACGGGAGGCAGCAGUGGGGAAUAUUGCACAAUGGGCGCAAGCCUGAUGCAGCCAUGCCGCGUGUAUGAAGAAGGCCUUCGGGUUGUAAAGUACUUUCAGCGGGGAGGAAGGCGACG
rnacentral:rRNA from 1 species